UACGAGGGGGGCAACUGUUGUUCGGAAUCACUGGGCGUAAAGGGAGCGUAGGCGGGUUUCUAAGUCAGGUGUUUAAUCCCGGGGCCCAACCCCGGACAGGCACUUGAAACUGGGAAUCUUGAAUAGUGGAGAGGUCAGUGGAAUUGGGGGUGUAGCGGUGGAAUGCGUAGAGAUCCCCAAGAACACCAGUUGCGAAGGCGGCUGACUGGACACAUAUUGACGCUGAGGCUCGAAAGCAUGGGGAGCAAACAGG
rnacentral:rRNA from 1 species